rnacentral:rRNA from 1 species
UACGUAGGGUGCGAGCGUUAAUCGGAAUUACUGGGCGUAAAGUGUGCGCAGGCGGUUUCGCAAGUCAAGUGUGAAAUGCCCGGGCUCACCCCGGGACCUGCAUCCCAAACUGCUGAGCUUGAGUACAGGAGAGGGUGGGGGAAUUCCAGGUGUAGCGGUGAAAUGCGUAGAUAUCUGGAGGAACACCGGUGGCGAAGGCGCCCACCUGGCCUGCUACUGACGCUGAAGCUCGAAAGCUAGGGGAGCAAACGGG